rnacentral:rRNA from 1 species
AUUGAACGCUGGCGGCAGGCCUAACACAUGCAAGUCGAACGAGUGGCGGACGGGUGAGUAAUGUCUGGGAAACUGCCCGAUGGAGGGGGAUAACUACUUGAAACGGUAGCUAAUACCGCAUACCAUCGGAUGUGCCCAGAUGGGAUUCGCUAGUAGGUGGGGUAACGGCUCACCUGGGCGACGAUCCCUCGCUGGGCUGAGAGGAUGACCAGCGACACGGGAACUGAGAAAAGGUCCAGACUCCUACGGGAGGCAGAAGUGGGGAAUAUGGCACAAUGGGCGCAAGCCGGAUGCAGCCAUGCCGCGUGUAUGAAGAGGGCCUUCGGGUUGUAAAGUACGUUCAGCGAGGAGGCGUUACUCGCAGAAGAAGCACCGGCUAACUACGUGCCAGCAGCCGCGGUAAUUC